AUUGUCACGUGCUGGUUCCUCCCGUUAACUACAUUGCCGUUCCCUGCUGAUAUUCCACGUCUUCUUGUUGUUAACCCAGACUAACCACAGAACAUUGGAAGGACUUAAGGGAGCACUGGCCAGAGAACAACAAUGAUCCAAUUGCCAUUUGUCAGCUCCAUGGUGGGCAGAUUCUGCUGCGUCCUUAAUCCCCGCCGUGCAGCCAUAGUUCCACUGUGACUGUUCCUAAAUGGACGUCAGUGCUACAGGUAAUGGAGCUGAUUACAGCUAUCUGGGCUGUGGGCUGGCUGCCAGACUUUGCCCUGCCUGGAGGGAGCUCAGGCCGCCUGGUGUCUGAUAUCCUGGGAUCCCUGUAACACAAGCCCUGCCUUGGCAGUCACUCUGCAACUAUCUUGCCCACUUCAAGCCACACAUCGAGGCUCCUUGGAGGAUGUCUCUGUGUAUAGUAUGUCCUCAUCAAGUUGUUUACUCCAAAUUGUAUUAGUCUACAGUCCUACCAUUUCAUCAACAAGGCUGUAGUAAGGGAUGACAUUGCUACAGUUUUAAUAGCUCAGUUUAAAUUGUGCACACAGGUUGUAUUCCUGACAAAAGAGAAAACAAUAGGUUAUCAGUUGAUGCAUUCUCGCCUCUAUUUCUGUCAUUUUAUUCAGUCUGCUAAAUGGAAGCUCAACCAAUAGCAGCUGAGGCUCAACCGACAGCCAUGAUAAAGAGACAUAAACAUAGCACAGCAUGCUGUUUUAAGAGGCAAAGUGCUUAAUUUACGACAAGAAUAUCUUUCUGUAAGUUUUGUUCGCACACAAUUAAUUUGAAAAUGCAAUAAACACGUUAGGACCCAAACUAUUAAUGAGCCAUAUGAAAGCAGAUAGGAAGCAAACUAAAAUUAGCCCAGUGCCUCAGCAAACACUUCCAUAGCCAAAUAUCAGCAUUGUGUGAAUUUUUAAUUUCCUCUCUGAAGAGUUUUUAUUAUACAAACUGGAUUAUUUCUUUACUUUUGUACUGUUUCAGACCUUUGACCUCAACUAGAAAUCAGAUUUGGACCUUUGAACAUGAAGUUUUUGGACCGUUUGUAUAAACGGUAGUUCCCUACCUUAAAUGACCAGAGCUGAUCAAGAAACCAUGUUGGGGUCAUGAAACAGUCACUAGACACUGUUUGUGUCCAGGCUAAAUUUUUAUUCCUUCUUGUCUAGUAAAGCAUAACAUUUCUUGCUUCUUUGUUAACAAUAAAUUACCAUGGUGACAGGAGGGCUGUUUCUUCUAAACAUACCUGGCGUUUGGUGAAACAACAUUCACUUGGUGCAACUGAUGUUAUCAUUGUCCUUGGAAAGAGCGUCUCUGUAGACGCCUUAAAUAAAUGUGAAAAUUCAAUCCAUACAGAAAACAGAGGGAAGAGGAACUUACAACAAUUUCUUUGAAGAAGCAGUAGUUUCCUUUGCUUCUAUGUAGUUGGUAUGACAAGCGUGUGUGCAGCAGCUUACAUGAACCUGUGGUGUAAAAUUUGUAAAUGAAGAAUGGCACUUUUGAAAUCAUCCUUUGUUACCAAAUGGUUGUAUUAAAUUUACAGCACAUGAUGAUAAGAUAGUCACACUGGGGGGUAAAUUGGGUUCAGAUUAAAAUCACCUGUCAAUGGCAAAAUGCCCAAAUUAGACUGGUGUCACAGAAACAACAGAAUGGACGCAGUGCUUAGAUAAUAAUGGAAAUAUGGUCACAGAGUAGGAAUAUAUUACUGUUAUAUUUUAAAUAAAUUAUAUUUUUCACCUAA